rnacentral:snRNA from 1 species
AGAUGUGAGGGCUGACUGGCUGCAACAUCUGUCACCCGACUGAUUGCCAAGGUUGAUUUGGCUGAUCUGGCUGGCUAGGCAGGUGUCCCCUUCCUCCCUCACCACUCCUUGUGAGUCCCUUCCAAAGCUGCACUCUUGGUUGAAGAGGAUGACCAUCCUGAUAGAGGAGGUCUGUUCUUUGGUCAAGAGUAUAUGAGUAUUUGCACUCCCCUGCUAGAAACUCCAAACAAGCUCUCAAGAUGGUGAUACUAAUAUAAAGACUGAGUUGUCUGAGCAAGGUAUUUGAAGAAAUGGUUUAGUAAUGUCCCUUGUUUAAAAAGGUAUUAGAAAUUAGAG